GACAGAGGGGGCAAGCGUUGCUCGGAAUUACUGGGCGUAAAGGGCGCGUAGGCGGGAUGGCAAGUCGGUCGUGAAAUCCCUCGGCUCAACCGAGGAACGUCGAUCGAUACUGCUGUUCUUGAGGAUUGCAGAGGAGACUGGAAUUCCCGGUGUAGCAGUGAAAUGCGUAGAGAUCAUGAGGAAGACCAGUGGCGAAGGCGGGUCUCUGGACAGUUCCUGACCACUGAGAACACGGAAGGCCAGGGGAGCAAACGGG
rnacentral:rRNA from 1 species